rnacentral:rRNA from 1 species
UACGUAGGGGGCUAGCGUUGUUCGGAAUCACUGGGCGUAAAGCGCACGUAGGCGGAUUUUUAAGUCAGGGGUGAAAUCCCGGGGCUCAACCUCGGAACUGCCUUUGAUACUGGAGACCUUGAGUCCGGGAGAGGUGAGUGGAAUUGCGAGUGUAGAGGUGAAAUUCGUAGAUAUUCGCAAGAACACCAGUGGCGAAGGCGGCUCACUGGCCCGGAACUGACGCUGAGACGCGAAAGCGUGGGGAGCAAACAGG